rnacentral:SRP_RNA from 1 species
CCCGGGCGUGGUGGUGCAUGCCUGUAGUCCCAGCUACUCAGGAGGCUGAGGUGGGAGGUCUGCUUGAGCCCAGGAGUUCUGGGCUGUAGUGCGCUAUGCCGAUCGGGUGUCUACACUAAGUUCGGCAUCAAUAUGGUGACCUCCUGGGAGCGGGAGACCACCAGGUUGCCUAAGGAGGGCUGAACCGGCCCAGGACAGAAACGGAGCAGGUCAGAACUCCCGUGCUGAUCAGUAGUGGGAUCACGCCUGUGAAUAGCCACUGCACUGCAGCCUGGGCAACAUAGCGAGACCCACCCCC